rnacentral:rRNA from 1 species
AACGAACGCUGGCGGCAUGCCUAACACAUGCAAGUCGAACGAAGGCUUCGGCCUUAGUGGCGCACGGGUGCGUAACGCGUGGGAAUCUGCCCUUUGGUUCGGAAUAACAGCUGGAAACGGCUGCUAAUACCGGAUGAUGUAGAAAGUCCAAAGAUUUAUCGCCAGAGGAUGAGCCCGCGUUGGAUUAGGUAGUUGGUGGGGUAAAGGCCUACCAAGCCGAGGAUCCAUAGCUGGUCUGAGAGGAUGAUCAGCCACACUGGGACUGAGACACGGCCCAGACUCCUACGGGAGGCAGGAGUGGGGAAUAUUGGACAAUGGGCGCAAGCCUGAACCAGCAAGGCCGCGUGAGUGAUGAAGGCCCUAGGGUUGUAAAGCUCUUUUACCCGGGAAGAUAAUGACUGUACCGGGAGAAUAAGCCCCGGCUAACUCCGUG